CACAGGAGGAAAAUGAGCUGUCACUCCAAUUCCCAGGAUGCCUUGCUGCUUAGCAUAACUCCACUCUGCGGCCCAGGGUCCACUGGUCCGUACUCUGACAGAUAAUUAAGAAAGCAGCAGCUUUUUCUAGACGGCUCUUCCUCAUGAUUUGCAUUUUAGCCAGAGGCGACCAGUUAUAAAAAAAACAUGAUGGAAAGAUGGUAAGAAGCCAAUUAGAUGGAUGGAUGGCUGACUGACAGCUCUCUGGUAUUACUACUCCAGAUUUCAUUCUAUGUAUCCUGGCAGUUUUCAACGGGAACCAACUCUGCAGGUGGAAGUUAUUCACUCAGAGAGUGGUGACGCACUGGAACAGGUUGUCCAAGGAGGCUGUGGAUGCCCCAUCCCUGGAUGCAUUCAAGGCCAGGCUGGAUGUGUCUCUGGGCAGCCUGGUCUGGUGGUUGGCGACCCUGCACAUAGCAGGGGGUUGGAACUGGAUGAGCACUGUGGUCCCUUUCAACCCAGGCCGUUCUAUGAUUCUGUGAUUCUUCUGAGUGGAGUUAAAGAGGCCAUCAGUGAGCGUCUUACUGCUACAUAUCUGGCUUAAAAUGAACAGCUGCUCCAGAGAUCUGGAAAUACUCUCUUUAGUUUUGAAUAGGAGGAGAAACUGAAGCGGAAGCAGGUGUUUGUGGCUGUGUUGUGUGAGGCCUUCAUUGUGUCUCCUGUGUUUUUCCCCGUUGGUAUCCCAACGCUGUUCUUUUGAUAUGCACUUUGUGCCUUUUAGGAAUGGUCAAUGGUGACACAUUGUCACUUCAUUUUCAAGUGGUGUGGUGAGUCAUUAGGUAAAUUGCUCACUUACUCAUGCUCUUUUUUUUUUUUUCCUCUGGAUUUAAUCUCUUCUUUGUUUUAUAAAUCCUUUGUUUUCCUGUUCUCAGCAAAUUAAGUCACUACACAUGAUUGUGCCUUGACAUUGUUGUUUUGCUAGUUGUUUCGUCAUCAAUACCUCAUUCUUUCUGAUUUCUCUGCCAUUUCAUCUCUGUCUUGCAGGAUAUACAUAUAUACUUAUAUUCUUGGUGUCUCCAAAAAGUGAUGUGUUCUUACAGCAUCCACCACAGGCAGGGCCACCUACCUCCACAUUUCAUACCAGCCCAGGCUGCCCAGGGCCCCACCCAACCUGGCCUUGAACACCUCCAGGGAUGGGACUGCUGCAGAAUCAUAGAACCAUUGAGGCUGGAAAAUACCACCAAGAACCUCAAAUCCAGCUCCAGCCUGCCUGCACCAUGCCCCCUGAACAUGACCCUCAUUGCCACAUCUCCACACUGAUAACCACUAGGGAUGAUGACCCCACCACCUCCCCGGGCAGCCGUGCCACUGCAUCACCACUCUUUCGGUGAAGCUUUUCCUGUCCACUCCCAGACCCUUUGAUACAGUUGUAUGGUGCAUGCUGAAAGCAGAAGCACUGUGUUUUAGGCGCAAGCCCAUACAAAUAAAUAAACAUUACCACCAUGAUGCUUAACACCAGAUCACAUCUAAAAUGUACAUGUGACUUUAAAUGACUUCCAAAAUCACGUGUAGGAACAGUGCAAGAAUGUGAUCUGAAUCCAAACAAAUUGAAUCCCAUCUGUACACCUUUCUGACAGAAACAUCCCUCUUGCAGCAUACCUGGGAAUAUGCACAAACGGCAUACAUUUCCCAUUGCAAAACUUAAAUCAAGAGAGUUAUGGUGAGAAAAACUUUGAACCUUCUCCCCAGGAUGUUCUGGAGUAUGUUCUUAUGCUGUUUUCUUCUGUGAAUAAAAUCCUACCUCUGCCCCGCAGGUAUCCUUCCUCUCUUUGUAGCUGCACAGUCACUGGGAUCAAAUUUAAAACGUGCAAAACCCCGAAUUCCUCAGAAUGCGGUGUGAAAGUGCACUUUGCUCACCGUUGUGAAAGCCAGCCGGCGAGCUUUGAGUUAUUCCCGUUAUUUCAGGAGAGGCAUAUUCCCUCUUUCUCACUAAAAGUGAGAAUACCGAGGGAAGAGAGGUGGCAGCGUGGCUAAAAUACGGAAUGAGGAAGUCACACCAACCUGUUCUGCUGCUUCGGUUGUUCAAGAGUCGGAUUUCCCGGUGUCGGAACUGCAUCACGGCAGCACUAGGUGGCAAUGUUGCUACAACGAAAACUCCCAUCGCUCCGCUCCAGCAGAGACCCCCGCCACGCUUUGCAGACAAUGCGAAGAGCUGUCGCCGCUUCGGCAGUUGCAUGGCAUCGUUUGGGUUGGCCGGGACUGCUCCGAGGUUGGCUGGUUGGUUGGCGUUUUCAUGAAGGAGCAAGUUGGAGUGAUAAAUUGGUUUUGCUUAUGGGUUUGGUCAUUCCUACUGAAUUUGCAGUGGAUCUGGGGGUUGUUGAGUAAGGCACAGAGAAAUGAGCUGCUGACAGUCGUGUUAGGAUGAGGCUCCAUCAUCUGACAAAGAUCAUGAGGACUCAAGCCUGAUCCUUAUCAUAAAAUCAUAGAAUUAUAGAAUGGCCUAGGUUGAAAAGGACCACAAUGCUCAUCCAGUUCCAACCUCCUGCUAUGUGCAGGGUCGCCAACCAGCAGACCAGGCUACCCAGAGACACAUCCAGCCUGGCCUUGAAAUAAUAAUAUCACUCAUGAGACCAUGGAAAGAAUAUAACUUGUACCUUCCCUCGUGUGCUAAUUCCAGUGAAAUCAAAGCCAAAAUUGUGGGGUAUAAAGUUUAGGGUGUGGGCAGCUUUUUCCAAGAUUAGUGCAUCUGAAGAAGAGUGAGCCAAUGGAAGCACGGAACAGCUAGCAGUUCAAUCUGUGUUUAAUCAACUACAGAGAAACAGCGUUCAUCAGGUCAUGAUGCUGAGGGGGCUCUGCACACUCCAAGUAUUUAUUUUAAUCCUCCUUAAUACCCACCAUUUGCAGUUAUAGUAAACUGCAAACUGCAGCUCUGGUUACCAAUAGGAUAAGCGACACUUCUGGUCUGAGUUUACCUCAUCGCUCAAGGGAUCAUCAUGAAAAUUCAGAUUUUAAUUCCAUUUUAAAGAAAAUGUUGCAUCCUGCUGACAGUAGCUGUGAUGGAUGAGAGUAAAAAUGGCCAAAGUGCAGAAAAAUCUUCUACCCUUUGCCAGGGAAGGGGAGUGGGCUGCACAUCCUGCAUUUCUACUGCAAAGGAUGCUCCAAAAGUAAUGCCUUCUAUUUUAUUGUCUUGGGCCACGACGUCAGAGGCAGAUGUCGGUGGGAUGACAGUAGAUACUGAGUCUUCCCACCAAUAUCCUGCUACAUUUUGUUCUGUGUGACAGACAACAGCAGAAAGACAGUCUGAAAGUACGGCAUCUGACAUGGAAAUGGGUAUGGAGCAAAGGUGUGUAAUUGAAUUCUUCCUUGAAGAAAAAGCAGCACCUACUGACAUUCAUUGAUGCUUACCGAAUGUUUAUGGAGACCAAACAGUGGGUUUGAGCACAACAAGGGGUGGGUUUUGUAUUUCUGCAGUGGUGAUAAUGACAUGAAAUACAAACCAUGUUCUAGACAGCCAUGCACAGCUGUCAGACCAUGAACUGAAGACAGUCUCAAUCAGCUCAUCCACACAUUCUGCUAAUGGUGAUGAUUGUUUUUUGUAGCUGAGAAUUCACUCUAUUCAAUAGUGUUAUUUUGUUCUUUGUAUGCAUUGUACCUUCCAUGGAAAUAUAUGCAUUACUUCUAGAGCGACCUAUGUAGUUUAUGAACAGUUGGAUUCUCAUAAUGGAUACUCAGAGGGUGGUGACACAUUGGAACAGGUUGCUCAAGGAGGUUGUGGAUGCCCCAUCCCUGCAGGCAUUCAAGGCCAGGCUGGAUGUGGCUCUGGGCAGCCUGGUCUGCUGGUUGGUGAUGCUGCACAUAGCAGGGGGGUUAAAACUCGAUGAUCAUUGUGGUCCUUUUCAACCCAGGCCAUUCUAUGAUUCUAUGAUUACAUGAUUAUAUGAUACUAAAUUAAUUGGUGGUGAAUUGCACCAGAGUUAUACAGGGGUCAGCAUCAAACCUUGUGCAGCUUCUCAGUGAUGACCAGUGAAGUUCUUACAUGAUGCUCAUAAGGAUCCAGAGAGGCAUCAGUGGUAGAACGAAGGGUCUAAGCAAUCCAUUAUUCCUGCCUUGUUGAUUGUGAGCAAUAUUGAGUCAGAUUUUCUUAUUCUGUUAGCUUUAGUUAUCAGUUAAGUAAACGCUGUUUUUCUUUACCUCUUACAUGAAGAUCACCUGCCAGAUCUGUUACUAGAAUCUCAUAGCAUGUUUUCUCAGAGUAGUGAUUACAUAUAUAUAUAUAAUUAAUUUUGUAAUGAAUUGUAUUAUGUUGUAAAAUAUUGUAUUUUAUCCUUCCGGAGCAACAGGAGAAAUUACAGGCCUUGUUCGAGGUGUGUUCAAAGGAGAAUUUAGAAUUACUCUUUGGAUUUCUUUCGAGUGGUGAGGAAGGAAUUCAUCUUUAUUAUUACUUUGGAGUCUCUUCGAUUUUCUAUAUAAGUCAAAAGUAAUAAAAUGGAUGAACUUAUCAGAGUUUUGUAUAAGUAUGUGCACCCAAGCACUUGAGGUUGUUUAAUGGACUUACUCUUCAAACAGUAAAUGCAGAGCUUCUUGAAGAUUUUCAGUGGAAAAAAGUGAGUAAGGCUUUGAAUCAGUUUUCCUUUGUAAGUCUCUCAUUUAUGUAGGCUAUUUUAAAAUGAACAUGUUAUUGGACUUCUCUAUAAGGGUGGAAUUUGAGCUAAUUUAGGUGGAUAUUUUUCUUUAUUUUGAAACAAUCUUUUUAAUGAAUAUUUAUCUCACAACUGGUAUUGUAUUUGCAUAUUUCUACAGUGAGCAAGGCUGUGACUUCUCUAAGUCAAAUUUUCUUGUUUGGUGGGAUAAAUCCAUGAUCUAGUGCCUAGAAAAGAGAAUGUGUCUGGCAGUGGGCAGAGCUGAGAAGCCUGCAUUGGGAAUGGCUCAAAUAGCCUAUAAAAAUGCUGUCUUAAUGUUGGAAUAAUCUCAGUGCUGGAUCAAAUUCUUAAAGUUUCACUGUCCCUUGUAGAAAAUAUUAUUGAGAGUAAUACUGAAAAACAGAAGAACAAGAAUAAAGCCCUGCUAGAGUAUACUGUCUGAAGAGUUUCACUUCCCUUUUUUAUAAUGCCAUUUAGUACUGUGAAAAUAGACAAUUCAGUUUCUCACCUUGAGCCAUACAUUUAGAUUGGAAGGGGAAAAAAGGAUGAAACAAGGGAUUUUUGGUGUUUUUUAGCCGUAUGAACACACAUAGACUUUGUCAGCACAGUAAAGUUGUGCUGAUAUCUGAGGAAAAGUCAGAAGCAGCUGAAAGACAGAAAGUUUAAAGAAGUGAAAAGAUGUGCAUUUCUGGCCUUAUUCAUGUCUCAUUAGCUUCUGGCACACUGUAUUGCCUAGACUAGCAAAAACAGGUUUUCUUUCUCCUUUUUCA
ensembl:lncRNA